UCCCCCUCCCCCCCUCCCCCCUCUCCCCCCCCAGCAGCAGCAGCAGCAGCAGCGGCUCUCUGUUGUCUGCGCUCCGCUAUGCUCCAGUCUCUUCUGUCCGCGGCGCACCGCUCCACUCUGGAUAUCCGGGAAUAAGGCGCUCCAGGCGGCCGCCGCUGCACCGAGCCCCGCUGCCCCGCUCCGCCCCGCUGCGCCCGGCUCCGCUCGCAGAUCCUGCAGAUCUCCCACGGCGGUCCGAGGAGAACCGAGACAGGAGCCGCAGACCAGGACAGACCCUGUUUGGAGGAGGAGGCGGAGUCUCAGGGAAGCCCCGCCCCUCGAAGCCCAGAUUGUGAUUGGUGGGCCUGGAGUCUGGCUCCGGUCCUGAUUGGUCGGAGGAGUCGCGGCCGGCAGGAAGUGGCGUCUGGUGACCUGAUGACAGCGUGCGCUCCACUUCCUGUACCACAGCUCCCGCUGCGCCGCCAUCUGUGAUGUCCUCCCGAGACGCCGCGGUGGGCAGCUGACCCCGCCAGCAAGCCGGAGACGCCGCCGCAGCAGACUCCGCCCCCUCGCCUCCGUCCUGACCGCCGGAGGCUCCGCCCUCUCGCCCUCCGUCCUGACCGCCGGAGGCUCCGCCCUCCGUCCUGCACGCAGAGGACUCCGCCUCCUCUCUGACCGAGCGCCCCCCCACCCCCCGGACGGACGCCGACACGCCGUCUGUCCGUCCGCCGCCACCGACCAACCGCAGCCAAAAAGCACGAUAUCGCAAUCAUCACCAGCAGCACCUUGACCACCAGCAGCACCUUGACCACCAGCAGCACCUUGCCCACCAGCAGAGCAGCCAUGUCCCGCCGGAGGAAGUCGUCCAACCCCUGCAUGGUCCGGGCCGCCGGCGAAGAGCGGGACAGGCCGGAGGACGUGAUGGACGCCGAAGUCUCCAACGACGGGACGGAACGAGACCAGUCGGAAACGUCCGAAUCGGCAGAAAACCCGCCGGAGCCCCGGCAGGAGGACCCGGAGGCUCCGGACCCACCAGCGAAGAACCGGGAACCUGAGCCGUCCCCUGCAGGACAGCAGUCUGAUAGCGAAGACCAGAUCCAGAACCCGGAGGACUCCGGCGGGGACAAGGAUGACGGAGACCCGGAGUCCAACCAGACGGCGCAGAAGACGCAGCCCCGGGGCUACGAGUGUAAGUACUGCCCGUUCCUGACGCAGAACCUGAACGCCUUCAAGGAGCACGUGGACUCCAGCCACCCCAACGUCAUCCUCAACCCGCUGUACCACUGCGCCGCCUGCAGCUUCCACACCAACAAGUUCGAUUCCCUGACGGAGCACAACGAGGACCGGCACCCGGGCCGCACCGGCUUCAAGUUCCGGAGGAUCACCGUGGACAACCAGACCGUUCUGGAGCAGACUGUCGAAGACACGGACGGCUCGGAGGACGGCGGCGGGUCGGACGAGCGGUGCGACGGUAAAACGGGCCCUGUGUCGCCCCCCAGCGGCCCCCCCACGGCGGCAGCGCCGGGCCUUCCUCCGCCGCUCUUCAGAGGAUGCGACCUGAAAAGCCAUCUGGAAGGUCUGGUCCAGAAAGACCAGAUCACGGCGGUGAACAUCAACGGGACGGUGAUCAUCCCCGACGCCGCCGUCCUGCAGGACGUGUCCCACGUCGCCCCGCUGCUGCAGCGCCCGCCCAACUUCACCGCCGUCCCCAAGAUCGCCGUCCCGCUGAACACCACCAAGUACAACCCCUCGCUGGACGACAACCUGACACUGAUGGCGUCCUUCAACAAGUUCCCGUACCCGACGCACGCCGAGCUGUCCUGGCUCACCGCCGCCUCCAAGCACCCGGAGGAGCAGAUCAAGGUGUGGUUCACCACCCAGCGCCUGAAGCAAGGUAUCACCUGGUCGCCCGAGGAGGUGGAGGAGGCCCGCAAGAAGAUGUUCAACGGCUCCAUCCCUCCGGCGCACCACACCUUCACCGUCCUGCCCACCGGCCCCCAGUCCCAGCCGUCCGCCGACGCCCCCGCGCCACCGGCGGUCCAGCACCCGGCCCCCGUCCAGAACGGAGGCCCCGCUCACGCCCUGAAGCGGCCGCUGCCCCCGCAGCUGGCCGGGACCUUCGGCCCCGAGGCCAAGCGGCCCGUCAUGGCGGUCGCCCCACAUUCCGGCGACGCCAAAGACAAAGUCCUGAUGGCCCCCCCUCCCCCACCCCCGCCCCAGAAAGACCGUCACUCGAUGGCCCCACCUGCCGCCGCCCUGGAGAUGAAGAGACCCGUAGCAGCGCCCCUGGUGGCCGCCGAGGCCAAGAGGUCGUCCGCCGCCGUGCCUUUACCGUCUCCGUCUCCCUUGUCCAAAGGAAAGAUUCUCUCCGCGUUAGGAAGCCCCAAAACCAAGCCGGUGGUUUCGCUCCCCUCCAUUGUCUUUCCAGAGUCCCUGACCCGGCCCAUGAUCGCCCCCCCGCCUAUCUUCGCCCCCCCAUUUAAAAACUCUCUACUUCUCCCUCGUGGCGGAGCCAAAGAUAAAUCCCCGAACGGACACUCGCUGGACCCCAACGCGCCGACGUCCCCGAUAAGGAGACCCCCGAUCAUCCAGUCCCUCCACGCCCCGCCUAAAGCCCCGGGACAGAUCCCAGGGUUCCCCUUCGACGGCAAGAAACUGCAAGAACAGCAGGGGGUGGAGCUGAAGGCCAGCUACCCCCGGGGAGACAAGGGGGUCAGUCCUCUGUCCGAGGCCAACGGAGCGUCUCGCUUCGACAGCAAAUGGGUCCACGAUCAGAACUCGGUGUCUCACAACGGGGUUCCGCACGUGGACUGCAUGGACGCCAUAACGGCGCUCAAACCGGGAUUCCAGCACAAGUCGUCCUCGGUCCUGACCCAGUUCCCCCUCCUGGAGCGCAUGAAAGGAAAGUCCGCCAAGCAGCUGAAGGUCCUGGAGGAGAACUUCCUCCGGAACAGCUUCCCCACACAUGGCGACGUGGACCACCUGGUGGUGUCCACCCGCCUGUCCCACCAGGAGAUCGAGAGCUGGUUUGCGGAGCGCCGCGCUCUGCGCGACAACCUGGAGCAAGCCCUGCUCAACUCCAUGGGCACCAAGCGGGGCGCCGGGGAGAACCCGCUCCAGCACCCGGCCCUCCAGCUCAACGGGAUCCACAGAGCCGGCGGCCGGCUGAGCAGCCCCCCCCCGCCGCUCCCGCCCACCCCCCUCCCCCACACCCACCCCCUCCCCUGCGCGGUGCCUCCGGACGGCCGCUCGCCGGCGCUCCUCAAGGACGACUUCGCCUGGCCCGAGGAGUCUGGCCGGACGGGACUGAUGAGGGCCGAGCUCGCCCGCUGGUUCAGCGACGGCCGGCUGCCAGGCGGCGGCGGCGCAGAGCUGACCGAGCUCCUGAACGGAGGGCGGGGGCCGCCGGGGGGCUCCCCCGAGAACGCCCCGCCCCGGCGCCGUCAGGACGGAGCGAUGGGCGGCAGCAAGGUGCUGGAGGUGGAGCUGGGCUGGCUGAUGGACCAACGAGGAGCCGGCUUCGGCGGCCAACAGCACGACGAGCUGCAGGAGCGCUUUGCUGGAAGGCUGAGGCAGCAGAACGUGGAGGAGCUGAAGAACGGGGGGCAGAACGGGGGGACGGUGAGGGACGUCUUCAGCAGCUGGCUGGAGGACGGAACCACCAGACGGGGACGCAGCCUGGUUCUAGACCGAGACCGGAAGAUGGACGAUGCAUCCGGGAGGCUGACCGGAUAAAAGGUCUUCUGGACUCGCUGCUGCUGGAAACAAUCAGACCGAAGCCGACAGUCGGAGCUCCACAACGUUCCUCUGUUUCGUCCUUUUGGGGAUUUUUGAAGAAUUUUCACACAGCUCCUCCUCCUCCUCCUGUGGCUCCUCCUCCUCCUCCUCUGGCUCCUCCUGUGACUCCUCCCCCUCCUCUGGCUCCUCCUCCUGCAAGUUAACCCCUAUUGCGUGGGAGGAGCAGGAGGAGUUAGAUGAGGGGGAGGGGCCAGGAGGGGGAGGAGCCAGGAGGAGGGGGGAUGUAGGUGAUGAUGUGUGACCCGCGUUGCCAUGGAGAUGUGAUGAUGAUGAGGAGGAGAAGAGGAUGAAGGUCAACCAGAGAACUGAAGCUGAAGGUGAACCGCUGGAGAACCGCACUAAAAGACAGAGACAGGACGGAACCGAGGGAACGCUUCAGAGGCUCCGCCUCCUGCUGGGGGCGGAGCCACCAGAGGGGCGGAGCUUCAGGAGGAUUUUUUAAAAAACGAAUCACAAAAAGCACCUUUGGACCCUUUUUCCUUUUUUACUGUGCUGAAGUGAAGUCAAGUGCUAUUAUAUUAUUAUUAUUAUUAUUAUUAUUAUUACCGUCAUCAUGACACUAUCAUACUCUUCGUAUCGUAGCCACUCUGUCUGGAACCUUUCCGAAGAAA